ACACGUAGGGGCCUGACGUUGUUCGGAAUCAUUGGGCGUAAAGUGCGCGCAGGCGGCCGUCCACGACCGGUGUUAAAUGAUCGGGCUCAACCCGAUCAUGCGCUAGAAACUGGGCGGCUUGAGUCCCGUAAGGGAUGCCGGAAUUCCAGGUGUAGGGGUGAAAUCUGUAGAUAUCUGGAAGAACACCGAUGGCGAAGGCAGGCAUCUGGCCGGAGACUGACGCUGAGGCGCGAAGGCGCGGGGAGCGAACAGGUUUAGAUACCCUGGUAGUCCGCGCAGUAAACGAUGCGCACCAGGUGUCGGGCGGCAGCGCCCGGUACCGGAGCUAACGCGAUGAGUGCGCCGCCUGGGGAGUAUGCCCGCAAGGGUGAAACUCAAAGGAAUUGACGGGG
rnacentral:rRNA from 1 species